rnacentral:lncRNA from 1 species
GUGGUAGGGAGGUCCAGUACUCCCUUAAUGUGUCACACCCCGGGGCCGAUUUUAAAAGCCUUUUUAUAAUAAAUACCAUUUUGAAAUCAGAGUUACGGAAAACGUGUUAUUUUUUUUUUGAAUUCAUGGCCCACGUGACGUACAGAUCCGCCACAAAUACAAAGUUUCUCUAUCUACUCGAACAUAAUUUUUUUUGUAUUUGCACGGCGUACCAACAGAUACAUCAGGAUCACAACUAUAAUAUACAUUCAUCAAUUGACAAAAAAUUUAUGUGAUGCAUUUCCAUACAGCUAAUGAUUCUUAGGGAUGAUGCAUGCCUCUAAACACUCCCUAGGCGUUGUAUGAUGCGAUGCACAGUACAACAAUCAUCCUACUUAAAAGUGCUCCCCACCCGAAAGCUUUAUUUUUAAACUUUAUUUAAUCAUUCAUAAAAACCAUUCGAAAAUCUUUCAAAACUGUUUCCCACUCGAAAACUCCAUUUUAAAAACCGACUAUCUCGAGGGGUAGAAAACCAUGAUGUAUAAAUAAGUAAAUCCAAAACCAAACAUUCAUAAAUCUCCAACAUUCAACAAAUUUCGUUUGCAUGCAUAAUAGGAAAUCACCAACUCAAACAGUUUACAAAUAUUCAAACAUCAAUAGUAAUCAUUUAACUGAACCAUUUAAUUAUUAAAACUACUAAGUGCGGAAAUAAAACAUAACCAGGGCGACGGUCGCUACUGCAGUCCAGCUAGUACGUCCUCCCGUCGUGCCAAAAGCCAACUC